CUGCACUUGACGAGAGGAUCGAAUUUGAUGGUAAUAAUAGGUAAAGGAAGAAAUUUAAUCUUAGAAUAGUUGCAGGAUUGAAAUAAAUGAAUCUAAUUGUUGAAGGACAUAACUUGAUGUUCCUAAUAGUUAAGAGGAUGAAAUUCGAUGACUAUAAUAGAUGAAGGACCGGAUUUGAUAUUUCUAAUAGAGGGACUAAAUUUGAUUUUUUUUUUUUUAAUUAGUUGAAGGGAUGAAAUGAAUGAUUGUAAUAUAUGAAUGACGGAAAUUGAAGAUGGUAAUAGUUGAAGGAGAAAUUUGAAGAUUAAAAUAGUAGAAGGAAAAAAUCUGAAGAUUGAAAUAUUAGAAGGAUAGAAUUUCAAUUGGUAAUAGUUGAAGGAUGAAAUUUAAUGAAUAGAAUAGUUAAAGGAUCGAGUUUGAAGAUUGAAUAGUUGAAGGACCAAAUUUGAAGAUUCUAAUAGAUGAAGGACCAAAUUUGAUGAUUGUAAUAGUUGAAGGAACGAAUUUGAAGAUUGAAAUAGUUUAAGGAUGAAAUUUGAAGAAUUUAAUAGUUGAAGUAUCAAUUUUGAUGAUUGUAGGAUCAAAUUUAACCCUAGUUUGAUGGCCAUUUUAUUGUGUAAUUAUGAUAUUUUGAAUAGUAAUUUUUUGAAGAAUAUGUAAUUAAAAAGUAGAAAAAUGAUUUGAAUUUAGAUGCAAAAUAUUUUAUUGUGUGAAUGCACGAUUGAAAAUGAAUAUGAAAAAUGAAUUGUUUUGUUUUAAAAUGAGUCAAAUAAGGGCUUAAUGAUUGUAAUAAAUGAAGGAUCGAAUUUGAAGAAUGAAAUAGUUGAAGGAUAAAAUUUGAACAUUCCAAUAGUUGAAUGACCGAAUUUAAAGAUUGAAGUAAUUGAAGGAUGAAAUUUGAAGAUUCUAAUAGUUGAAGAAUCAAAUUUGAUGAUUAAUAUGAACCUUUGAAAAAGACAAUGGUCCUGAUUCAUCAUUACUCUUAGG
rnacentral:lncRNA from 1 species